UACGUAGGCAGCGAGCGUUGUUCGGAAUUACUGGGCGUAAAGAGCUCGUAGGCGGUCUGUCGCGUCGAUCGUGAAAACUUGGGGCUUAACCCUGAGCUUGCGGUCGAUACGGGCAUGACUGGAGUUCGGCAGGGGAGACUGGAAUUCCUGGUGUAGCGGUGAAAUGCGCAGAUAUCAGGAGGAACACCGGUGGCGAAGGCGGGUCUCUGGGCCGAUACUGACGCUGAGGAGCGAAAGCGUGGGGAGCGAACAGG
rnacentral:rRNA from 1 species